rnacentral:ncRNA from 1 species
AGAGAGAAGCUGAGGCGAAGGCGUCUACCUAGAGGGUUUCUGUCGAUCAAGGGCGAGAGUAGGAGUAUCCAACAGGAUUAGAGACCCUGGUAGUUCCUACCUUAAACGAUGCCGACAGGAGUUUGUCAUUUGUUAAUGGCAGAAUCUUUGGAGAAAUCAUAGUUCUUGGGCUCUGGGGGAACUACGACCGCAAGGCUGAAACUUGAAGGAAUUGACGGAAGGGCACACCAGGGGUGGAGCCUGUGGCUUAAUUUGAAUCAACACGGGGAAACUUACCAGGACCAGAUGUUUUUUAUGACUGACAGGCUUCGGGUCUUUCAGGAUAUUGUUUUUGGUGGUGCAUGGCCGUUGGUGGUGCGUGGGUUGACCUGUCUAGCGUUGAUUCAGCUAACGAGCGAGAUUAUCGCCAAUUAUUUACUUUGCCGAAGUCCUUCGGUUAAAGUUCUAAUUGGGACUCCCUGCGAUUUUAGCAGGUGGAAGAGGGUAGCAAUAACAGGUCCGUGAUGCCCUUUAGAUGCUCUGGGCUGCACGCGUGCUACAAUGUUAGGAUCAAUAGGACUGCGAGCCUGAGAGGGUGCGCUACUCUUAUAAUCCCUAACGUAGUUGGGAUUGACGUUUGUAAUCAGCGUCAUGAACCAGGAAUCCCUUGUAAAUGUGUGUCAACAACGCACGUUGAAUACGUCCCUGCCCUUUGUACACACCGCCCGUCGCUCCUACCGAUUGGAUGACUCGGUGAAAUCACCGGAUGCUUACGAGCAGAAAGUGAUUAAAUCACGUUAUCUAGAGGAAGGAGAAGUCGUAACAAGGUAACGGUAGGUGAACCUGCCGUUGGAUCAGUU